rnacentral:tRNA from 1 species
AGGGUUGUGGUGUAGUGGAUAGCAUUCGAUCGAUGGACGUACUCGCAAGUCUGCAAACUGCAGGUACCAGAUGGAAAUCUUUCAAGGGGUGGGUUCAAGUCCUGCCAACCCUA